UUGGCGGACGGGUGAGUAACGCGUGGGUAACCUGCCUCACACUGGGGGAGUAACAGUUAGAAAUAGCUGCUAAUACCGCAUAAGCGCACAGUUCCGCAUGGAACAGUGUGAAAAACUACCGGUGGUGUGAGAUGGACCCGCGUCUGAUUAGCCAGUUGGCGGGGUAACGGCCCACCAAAGCGACGAUCAGUAGCCGGCCUGAGAGGGUGAACGGCCACAUUGGGACUGAGACACGGCCCAAACUCCUACGGGAGGCAGCAUG
rnacentral:rRNA from 1 species